UGUAAUAAUCCCUUCUCUCCUACAGACUCCGAUUUGGCUGAUUACUUUGACACGCCUGUGGAGACUACCACCAAACCAACCAAGCCAACUCCCAAGCCCUUCCCCAGGCCAGGGAAGCCAGACAAUGGCUUCUGGGAUGUCAUUCACACCACCACAACCAAGCAGCCAAAAACUACAAGAGCCCCUCAUAAGCGUAACCCAG